rnacentral:rRNA from 15 species
GGGUACCAUUAUACCAGCACUAAAGCACCGAAUCUAACUAGAACUACGAAGUUAAGCUUGCUUGGGCAAGAGUUGUACUAGGAUGGGUGACACCCUAGGAAGUCCUCGAGUUGCACCCC